rnacentral:misc_RNA from 1 species
GAUGAAGAACGCAGCGAAAUGCGAUAAGUAAUGUGAAUUGCAGAAUUCAGUGAAUCAUCGAAUCUUUGAACGCACAUUGCGCCCGCCAGUAUUCUGGCGGGCAUGCCUGUCCGAGCGUCAUUUCAACCAUCAAGCCCCGGGCUUGUGUUGGGGACCUGCGUCCGACGCAGGCCCUGAAAACCAGUGGCGGGCUCGCUGUCCACACCGAGCGUAGUAACUAACCUCGCUAUGGAGUGGCGCGGGCGCCUGCCGUAAAACCCCCAAUUUCACAAGGUUGACCUCGGAUCAGGUAGGAAUACCCGCUGAACUUAAGCAUAUCAAUAGCGGAGGA